AAAGGGAGACCUAAUUCAGGUAGGAGACGAAAAAAAAAUAGUCGCUACCAAGAAUCAAUCCCAAAAGGUCGGAGCGAGGCGAAAUUGGCUUUCAAACUAGGUUCUGGGUUCAAACAAGACCUGAAUCAGGAACAAGGGCUAUUAGCUCAGGUGGUUAGAGCGCACCCCUGAUAAGGGUGAGGUCCCUGGUUCGAGUCCAGGAUGGCCCACCUGUACAGGUGGCAAAAAGAAAGAAAAGAAGCGAGGAAUCAGCACCUUAUCUUACUGACAUAGUAAGAGAGAAUGCUGGCUCUGAGUAAAGAGUCCAGAGGAACCUUGAAAACUGCAUAGAGCUAGGUGAAAAAGCCAAAAAAGAAGACCGCAAG
rnacentral:tRNA from 1 species